UACGUAGGGUCCGAGCGUUGUCCGGAAUUAUUGGGCGUAAAGGGCUCGUAGGCGGUUUGUCGCGUCGGGAGUGAAAACACGGGGCUUAACCCCGUGCCUGCUUCCGAUACGGGCAGACUAGAGGUAUGCAGGGGAGACUGGAAUUCCUGGUGUAGCGGUGAAAUGCGCAGAUAUCAGGAGGAACACCGGUGGCGAAGGCGGGUCUCUGGGCCGAUACUGACGCUGAGGAGCGAAAGCGUGGGGAGCGAACAGG
rnacentral:rRNA from 1 species